GGCUUGGCAGAAGCAGCCAGGGCCUUUAGGGAUUGUAAUUCUCGUCGGAAUCCGGAUCUGGAGCCUUAGUUCCUUGCGUUUGAGAACAUACUCAAACACGGGAGGAUGAAACCACCACCAGGGUAGGAAUAGAAGACAGGAGUGCGAAUGAACUUAAACCCAAUUCUUCACCAAGCAAGUGGCUUUGAUCCAUCUUCGUGUUGCUCUGCGUUCUUUUUAUCUCUGUUCCAGUAUUUAAUGGUUUGGAUGUUUCCUAUGGUCUCAGCUAAAAGUCAAGCUUUGGUUUACAAGCACAUUUCUUGUUUGGGCCUCAAUAAAGGUGCAGACAAGGGUACAGGUCUGUGAUUUAUCAGUCUUACAAAACACCCAGCGCUCGCCACAACACAUCGAGAUGUCCUCAACGUCCAUCGAAAACUAUGUUUUUUAAACUAGGCUCCACGCCCAACGUGGGGCUUGAACUCAAGACCCCGAGAUCAAGAGUCGCAUGCUCUACUAAUUGAGCCAGCCAGGCGUCCUAGCUCUUUUUAAAACUAGCUCCCUAAUCAUGAAACCAAUGCCUAAUUGAACCUUAACUUGAGCCAAUUUUCCUUCUUUAAGAUUCAAUUUAGGAAUCCCAUAUACCUAAGGAAAUUCCAUGGACUGGGCUAGAUGUUUGUAUAUUAUAUAUAAUAUCAUUGUAUUCUAAUUGUUUACUUUUCUAUUCCUACCCCUAGAUCUUGUUUUUCCUCGUUAGGAGCUUUGUUUUUCACUGCUUCAUCCUGUGAAGUAUUAGCUCAAUGAACUUUCUCAGUGAAUCAAUGAAUGAACAAAUUAAUGGGAUUAGUUCGGCAUUAUUGUUUAAUUAUCUGUAUUGAAAUAGAAUAAAAACCAUUUUAUAUUUGAUUUUAGACAGUUCUUUUAUACAGCAUUAACCUUAUGUUUUUCAUGAGUUUGGAUUUUUCUCAGCAUAUUCAAAGGGUGGGAGAUGUAGCCCAUAAGCUGAAUUUAAGUAAUAAUAAGUCCUCCUGUAAAUAUUAAAAAAUUAACAUGGCGGUAAACUGAUGGAUAUAUCUUGUCUACCAGUAAUAGAACCAAGGUUUCAGAAACAUUAGAUGUUUUGGAAAAUCAGUGUUUUAAAUAAUGCUAUUUUGCUUGAGUCUUUAUUAAUAGCUGAAUGCCUUUUAUAUUACGAGACUGUCCUUGGGAUCAUGACCUGAGCCGAAGGCAGACGCUUAACGACUGAGCCAUCCAGGCGCCCAACAUAAAAUGUUUUAACUAGCUGUUAAACACAGCCAUUAUUAAAAAUUAUGUACAUUUGAAUUUAAAUGAAGAACAAAGGUAAUAAA